rnacentral:rRNA from 1 species
GGUAGGAUAGAGGCCUACCAUGGUGGUAACGGGUAACGGGGAAUUAGGGUUCGAUUCCGGAGAGGGAGCCUGAGAAACGGCUACCACAUCCAAGGAAGGCAGCAGGCGCGCAAAUUACCCAAUCCCGACACGGGGAGGUAGUGACAAUAAAUAACAAUACGGGGCUCUUUCGGGUCUCGUAACUGGAAUGAGUACAAUUUAAAUCCCUUAACGAGGAACAAUUGGAGGGCAAGUCUGGUGCCAGCAGCCGCGGUAAUUCCAGCUCCAAUAGCGUAUAUUAAAGUUGUUGCAGUUAAAAAGCUCGUAGUUGAAUUUCGGGAUUGACACAUCGGUCGUGCCCUAAGGGGUAUGAACUGGUGUCGUCAGUUUCUCACCUUCUGGAGAACCGCGAUGUCCUUAAUUGGGUGCCGCGAGGAACCAGGACCUUUACUUUGAAAAAAUUAGAGUGUUUAAAGCAGGCAUUUUGCUUGAAUACAUUAGCAUGGAAUAAUAAAAUAGGACGGAUGGUUCUAUUUUGUUGGUUUCUAGGAUCACCGUAAUGAUUAAUAGGGAUAGUUGGGGGCAUUAGUAUUCAAUUGUCAGAGGUGAAAUUCUUGGAUUUAUUGAAGACUAACUACUGCGAAAGCAUUUGCCAAGGAUGUUUUCAUUAAUCAAGAACGAAAGUUAGGGGAUCGAAGACGAUCAGAUACCGUCGUAGUCUUAACCAUAAACUAUGCCGACUAGGAAUCAGACGAUGUUAAUUUUUUAAUGACUCGUUUGGCACCUUACGGGAAACCAAAGUGUUUGGGUUC